rnacentral:ncRNA from 1 species
UUAAUUAAGCGCCAGGACAAUUUAUUUAAAUUGUUGACGAGGUUAGAGCUUAUCGAAAUAUUCGGCGGAUGCUCUAGGGCUUUAUGUUACAGUCCUUAAAUAUUAAUUAAAACCUAAUAGUGAUAUUAGAACAGAGUUAAUAUUAAG